UGUGCAGCCCCCCAAAAAAACAAAAAAAAAAACAAAGUUUGGCAUCAAAAAUUGGCGUUUUCUAUUGUUUUGCAAUAAAUGUAGUUGGAAAAGACACUUAUUUGCCAGGAACAAAAAUCGUGUUUUGAAUAAUCAGCAGCUGGAAUGUGUUGCACCACAUUGCGCCGCUAUU